rnacentral:tRNA from 1 species
GUGGUUGUGGCUCAGUGGUAGAGUGCUCACCUAGCACAUACGAGGCCCUGGCUUCGAUCCUCAGCACCACA